rnacentral:miRNA from 1 species
UAAAGGUUUGUUUGUAAA